GAUGAACGCUGGCGGCGUGCCUAAUACAUGCAAGUCGAACGCAUUGUGGUUGAAAUGAUAUGAAGAACUUGUUCAGAUUUGAUUUUCAACAUUGCAAUGAGUGGCGAACGGGUGAGUAACACGUGGGAAACCUACCUCUUAGCAGGGGAUAACAUUUGGAAACAAAUGCUAAUACCGUAUAAUAAUUAAAACCGCAUGGUUUUAGUUUAAAAGAUGGUCUUGCUAUCACUAAGAGAUGGUCCCGCGGUGUAUUAGUUAGUUGGUGAGGUAAUGGCUCACCAAGACAAUGAUACAUAGCCGAGUUGAGAGACUGACCGGCCACAAUGGGACUGAGACACGGCCCAUACUCCUACGGGAGGCAGCAGUAGGGAAUCUUCCACAAUGGACGAAAGUCUGAUGGAGCAACGCCGCGUGUGUGAUGAAGGGUUUCGGCUCGUAAAACACUGUCGUAAGAGAAGAUGACAUUGAGAGUAACUGUUCAAUGUGUGACGGUAUCUUAAC
rnacentral:rRNA from 1 species